GACGAACGCUGGCGGCGUGCUUAACACAUGCAAGUCGAACGGAAAGGCCCCUUCGGGGGUACUCGCGUGGCGAACGGGUGAGUAACACGUGCGUAACCUGCCCUUGACUUCGGGAUAACUUCAGGAAACUGGGGCUAAUACCGACUAGGAAUCCUUGCUGCCUGGUGGGGGUUGGAAAGCUUCGGCGGUUUUGGAUGGACUCGCGGCUUAUCAGCUUGUUGGUGGGGUAGUGGCUUACCAAGGCUUUGACGGGUAGCCGGCCUGGGAGGGCGACCGGCCACAUUGGGACUGAGAUACGGCCCAGACUCCUACGGGGGGCAGCAGGGGGGAAUAUUGCACAAUGGGCGGAAGCCUGAUGCAGGAACGCCGCGUGCGGGAUGACGGCCUUCGGGUUGGAAACCGCUUUCAGCAGGGGCGAAGCUUGUGGUGACGGUACCUGCAGAAGAAGCACCGGCUAACUACGUG
rnacentral:rRNA from 1 species